UAUGGUAUCGGCCAGCCGCCGCGGUAAUCCGUAGGGGGCAAGCGUUAUCCGGAUUUACUGGGUGUAAAGGGAGCGUAGACGGCAUGGCAAGCCAGAUGUGAAAGCCCGGGGCUCAACCCCGGGACUGCAUUUGGAACUGUCAGGCUAGAGUGUCGGAGAGGAAAGCGGAAUUCCUAGUGUAGCGGUGAAAUGCGUAGAUAUUAGGAGGAACACCAGUGGCGAAGGCGGCUUUCUGGACGAUGACUGACGUUGAGGCUCGAAAGCGUGGGGAGCAAACAGG
rnacentral:rRNA from 1 species